GACGAAGGGGGCUAGCGUUGUUCGGAAUUACUGGGCGUAAAGCGCGUGUAGGCGGUUGUUCAAGUCAGGUGUGAAAGCCUUGAGCUCAACUCAAGAAAUGCACUUGAUACUGAAUGACUAGAGGACCGGAGAGGAUAGUGGAAUUCCCAGUGUAGUGGUGAAAUACGUAGAGAUUGGGAAGAACACCAGUGGCGAAGGCGGCUAUCUGGACGGUUACUGACGCUAAGGUGCGAAAGCGUGGGGAGCAAACAGG
rnacentral:rRNA from 1 species